rfam:Nicotiana sylvestris Nsyl_contig64017, whole genome shotgun sequence.
UGGACAAAUUAUUGUAUUCGACUGUAUUCACGGCGUAAAAUAGGGGAUUACACUGUUUUUAAAACGGAAAGUGAAUCAAUUAACAUAAUAGACUCCU